AAAUUGAAGAGUUUGAUCAUGGCUCAGAUUGAACGCUGGCGGCAGGCCUAACACAUGCAAGUCGAACGGUAACAGGAAGCAGCUUGCUGCUUCGCUGACGAGUGGCGGACGGGUGAGUAAUGUCUGGGAAGCUGCCUGAUGGAGGGGGAUAACUACUGGAAACGGUAGCUAAUACCGCAUAAUGUCGCAAGACCAAAGAGGGGGACCUUCGGGCCUCUUGCCAUCGGAUGUGCCCAGAUGGGAUUAGCUUGUUGGUGGGGUAACGGCUCACCAAGGCGACGAU
rnacentral:rRNA from 1 species